rnacentral:rRNA from 1 species
GACGAACGCUGGCGGCGUGCCUAAUACAUGCAAGUCGAACGCAGUGGGGACGGGUGAGUAACACGUGGGUAACCUCCCAUCAGAGGGGAUAACACUUGGCAACAGGUGCUAAACCGAUACUGAUGGAUGGACCCGCGGGGCAUUAGCUAGGUGUUGAGGGAACGGCUAACCAAGGCCACGAUGCCUAGCCGACCUGAGAGGGGGAUCGGCCACACUGGGACUGAGACACGGCCCAGACUCCUACGGGAGGCAGCAGUAGGGAAUCUGCGGCAAUGGACGAAAGUCUGACCGAGCAACGCCGCGUGAGUGAAGAAGGUUUUCGGAUCGUAAAACUCUGUUGUUAGAGAAGCGGUAUCUAACCAGAAAGCCACGGCUAACUACGGGCCAGCAGCCGCGGUAAUAC